GUGGGGAAUUUUGGACAAUGGGCGCAAGCCUGAUCCAGCAAUGCCGCGUGCAGGAAGAAGGCCUUCGGGUUGUAAACUGCUUUUGUACGGAACGAAACGGUCCUGGUUAAUACCCGGGGCUAAUGACGGUACCGUAAGAAUAAGCACCGGCUAACUACGUGCCAGCAGCCGCGGUAAUACGUAGGGUGCAAGCGUUAAUCGGAAUUACUGGGCGUAAAGCGUGCGCAGGCGGUGCUGUAAGACAGGCGUGAAAUCCCCGGGCUUAACCUGGGAAUUGCGCUUGUGACUGCAGUGCUGGAGUGCGGGAGAGGGGGAUGGAAUUCCGCGUGUAGCAGUGAAAUGCGUAGAUAUGCGGAGGAACACCGAUGGCGAAGGCAAUCCCCUGGGCCUGCACUGACGCUCAUGCACGAAAGCGUGGGGAGCAAACAGGAUUAGAAACCCCAGUAGUCC
rnacentral:rRNA from 1 species